rnacentral:rRNA from 1 species
AAUCAACGCUGGCGGCGUGCCUCAGACAUGCAAGUCGAACGAUUAAAGCUCUCUUCGGAGAGUGCAUAGAGUGGCGCACGGGUGAGUAACACGUAAGUAAUCUACCUUCGAGUGGGGAAUAACGUCCGGAAACGGACGCUAAUACCGCAUAAUGCAGCGGCAUCGCAAGAUGACAGUUGUUAAAGGAGCAAUUCGCUUGAAGAGGAGCUUGCGGCAGAUUAGCUAGUUGGUAAGGUAAUGGCUUACCAAGGCUACGAUCUGUAACCGGUCUAAGAGGACGGUCGGUCACACUGACACUGAAUAACGGGUCAGACUCCUACGGGAGGCAGCAGUCGGGAAUUUUGGGC